AAAAAAAGCACUCUGGCCUAGACUGCCAUGUCAUGCUGUUCAUGAGACUUGAGGGCUCCAAAUUGGCUGACACUCCUUUCUCUAUCCCCCAUGUUCAUUUUACUACCAAACUGGAAGUUUUUCCUUCACCACAAGGCCACUUGUCACCUACUUUUUUGUACACUCACUUCCAGCAAACUAGUUCCAACCCAGGCCACAGCCUUCAGCUUCCUUCUUCCUGCAUAUGACACCAGCUUAGCUUUCCAGACUUCCUCCUGUCAUUUCACUCUUCAGCCCUCAAUGGUUCACACACAUGAUCAAAUCUGGAUGCCUAAGUCUUCCUAGGACCUUCUUGCUGCCUCAUUUGACAAGCUUCAGUGCUGCCUUUGAGCCUCCCUGCCUCCAUGGACCUCCCUUCUUCCCUUCAGUCUUGUCCAUCAUCCCACUGGGAAGCCAAGCACCUAGACAUUCUCUGCACUAGCAGUGAAGAAAUGAGCACACGACACGCCCUAGUUAGAAACAA
rnacentral:lncRNA from 1 species